UACCGGCCCAAAACCCCCAGCAGCCUUCCUACCCUUCAAAUCCUCAGCAGGCCAAGCCCUACCGGCCUUCCUACCCUUCGAAUCCCCAGCAGGCCAAGCCCUACCAGCCCGCAUACCCUUCAAACCCUCAGCAGGCCAAACCCCUGCAAUGGGUGCUCCAAAGUAAAGCUGGCAUGUGGAACUUUCCUUCCCAAGGAAGUGUUGCUUCUGGCUCUAAUGUGCAGCCCACUGACUCAAACUCGCACUUGAAUCUUGACCCAAGUAGUUUGAGAGAAAUUCCAAUGCCAUUCCCGUACCAGCCCAGGUGGCCGCAGCAACUGGUGCCAGUGUAGAACAGACAUCAUUGACCUUCCUAACUGUUCCUGAACUUGCCUGGAAGAAGUCUGAACUGGCAUCAACUUUGAAUUUAAUAAAAUACUUGGAACACAC